GACGAACGCUGGCGGCGUGCUUAACACAUGCAAGUCGAGCGGUAAGGCCCUUCGGGGUACACGAGCGGCGAACGGGUGAGUAACACGUGGGUGACCUGCCCUCAGCUCUGGGAUAAGCCUGGGAAACCGGGUCUAAUACCGGAUAGGACUCCAUGACGCAUGUUGUGGGGUGGAAAGCCUUGUGCGGCUGGGGAUGGGCCCGCGGCCUAUCAGCUUGUUGGUGGGGUGAUGGCCUACCAAGGCGACGACGGGUAGCCGGCCUGAGAGGGCGACCGGCCACACUGUGACUGAGACACGGCCCAGACUCCUACGGGAGGCAGCAGUGGGGAAUCUUGCGCAAUGGGCGAAAGCCUGACGCAGCGACGCCGCGUGAGGGAUGACGGCCUUCGGGUUGUAAACCUCUUUCAGCUCCGACGAAGCGAAAGUGACGGUAGGAGCAGAAGAAGCACCGGCCAACUACGUGCCAGCAGCCGCAGUAACAC
rnacentral:rRNA from 1 species